rnacentral:rRNA from 1 species
GCGAUUGUCUCGCGAUGCAUCUAGAUUAGAGUUUGAUCAUGGCUCAGAUUGAACGCUGGCGGCAGGCCUAACACAUGCAAGUCGAGCGGAUGACGGGAGCUUGCUCCUUGAUUCAGCGGCGGACGGGUGAGUAAUGCCUAGGAAUCUGCCUGGUAGUGGGGGACAACGUUUCGAAAGGAACGCUAAUACCGCAUACGUCCUACGGGAGAAAGCAGGGGACCUUCGGGCCUUGCGCUAUCAGAUGAGCCUAGGUCGGAUUAGCUUGUUGGUGAGGUAAUGGCUCACCAAGGCGACGAUCCGUAACUGGUCUGAGAGGAUGAUCAGUCACACUGGAACUGAGACACGGUCCAGACUCCUACGGGAGGCAGCAGUGGGGAAUAUUGGACAAUGGGCGAAAGCCUGAUCCAGCCAUGCCGCGUGUGAAGAAGGUCUUCGGAUUGUAAAGCACUUUAAGUUGGGAGGAAGGGCAGUAAGCUAAUACCUUGCUGUUUUGACGUUACCGACAGAAUAAGCACCGGCUAACUCUGUGCCAGCAGCCGCGGUAAUACAGAGGGUGCAAGCGUUAAUCGGAAUUACUGGGCGUAAAGCGCGCGUAGGUGGUUUGUUAAGUUGGAUGUGAAAGCCCCCGGGCUCAACCUG